rnacentral:rRNA from 1 species
GAUGAACGCUGGCGGCGUGCCUAAUACAUGCAAGUCGAGCGAACAGACGAGGAGCUUGCUCCUCUGACGUUAGCGGCGGACGGGUGAGUAACACGUGGAUAACCUACCUAUAAGACUGGGAUAACUUCGGGAAACCGGAGCUAAUACCGGAUAAUAUAUUGAACCGCAUGGUUCAAUAGUGAAAGACGGUUUUGCUGUCACUUAUAGAUGGAUACGCGCCGCAUUAGCUAGUUGGUAAGGUAAAGGCUUACCAAGGCAACGAUGCGUAGCCGACGUGAGAGGGUGAUCGGCCACACUGGAACUGAGACACGGUCCAGACUCCUACGGGAGGCAGCAGUAGGGAAUCUUCCGCAAUGGGCGAAAGCUUGACGGAACAACGCCGCGUGAGUGAUGAAGGUCUUCGGAGCGUAAAACUCUGUUAUUAGGUAAGAACAAAUGUGUAAGUAACUAUGCACUUCUUGACGGUACCUAAUCAGAAAGCCACGGCUAACUACGUG